GCAAACUUGGUCAUUUAGAGGAAGUAAAAGUCGUAACAAGGUCUCCGUAGGUGAACCUGCGGAGGGAUCAUUAAUGAAUGACCUAAAAAAGGUCUUCAAACCCUUUCAAACCUGUGGACAUAUUAAAAUGUGUUUCGGCGCUUCGGCGUCGUAUUUAUGCCUAUAUCAUAUAUUGAAGUCUAAACCACACAAAAAAGAAUUAAAACUUUCAACAAAGGAUCUCUUGGCUCUUGCAUCGAUGAAGAACGCAGC
rnacentral:misc_RNA from 1 species